rnacentral:rRNA from 1 species
UACGUAGGGCGCAAGCGUUGUCCGGAAUUAUUGGGCGUAAAGAGCUCGUAGGCGGCCUGUUGCGUCCGCUGUGAAAUCCCGGGGCUCAACCCCGGGCCUGCAGUGGAUACGGGCUGGCUAGAGGCAGGCAGGGGAGAACGGAAUUCCUGGUGUAGCGGUGAAAUGCGCAGAUAUCAGGAGGAACACCUAUGGCGAAGGCAGCUCUCUGGGACGGUACUGACGCUGAGACGCGAAAGCGUGGGGAGCGAACAGG